GAUGAACGCCGGCGGUGUGCCUAAUACAUGCAAGUCGUACGCACUGGCCCAACUGAUUGAUGGUGCUUGCACCUGAUUGACGAUGGAUCACCAGUGAGUGGCGGACGGGUGAGUAACGCGUGGGUAACCUGCCUCACACUGGGGGAUAACAGUCAGAAAUGACUGCUAAUACCGCAUAAGCGCACAGCAUCGCAUGAUGCAGUGUGAAAAACUCCGGUGGUGUGAGAUGGACCCGCGUUGGAUUAGCUAGUUGGCAGGGCAGCGGCCUACCAAGGCGACGAUCCAUAGCCGGCCUGAGAGGGUGAACGGCCACAUUGGGACUGAGACACGGCCCAG
rnacentral:rRNA from 1 species